rnacentral:rRNA from 1 species
AAUAGAUACCCAGGUAGUCCACGCCGUAAACGAUGAGUGCUAAGUGUUAGGGGGUUUCCGCCCCUUAGUGCUGCAGCUAACGCAUUAAGCACUCCGCCUGGGGAGUACGGUCGCAAGACUGAAACUCAAAGGAAUUGACGGGGGCCCGCACAAGCGGUGGAGCAUGUGGUUUAAUUCGAAGCAACGCGAAGAACCUUACCAGGUCUUGACAUCCCAUUGACCACUAUGGAGACAUAGUUUUCCCUUCGGGGACAACGGUGACAGGUGGUGCAUGGUUGUCGUCAGCUCGUGUCGUGAGAUGUUGGGUUAAGUCCCGCAACGAGCGCAACCCUUGUUCUUAGUUGCCAUCAUUUAGUUGGGCACUCUAAGGAGACUGCCGGUGACAAACCGGAGGAAGGUGGGGAUGACGUCAAAUCAUCAUGCCCCUUAUGACCUGGGCUACACACGUGCUACAAUGGACGGUACAAACGGUUGCCAACCUGCGAGGGGGAGCUAAUCCGAUAAAACCGUUCUCAGUUCGGAUUGUAGGCUGCAACUCGCCUAC